rnacentral:rRNA from 1 species
GCAACGCGAAAACCUUACCCACCUUUGACAUGGCAGGAAUCCCGAAGAGAUUUGGGAGUGCUCGAAAGAGAACCUGCACACAGGUGCUGCAUGGCUGUCGUCAGCUCGUGUCGUGAGAUCGUUGGGUUAAGUCCCGCAACGAGCGCAACCCUUGCCAUUAGUUGCUACGAAAGGGCACUCUAAUGGGACUGCCGGUGACAAACCGGAGGAAGGUGGGGAUGACGUCAAGUCCUCAUGGCCCUUAUAGGUGGGGCUACACACGUCAUACAAUGGCCGGUACAGAGGGUAGCCAACCCGCGAGGGGGAGCCAAUCCCACAAAGCCGGUCGUAGUCCGGAUCGCAGUCUGCAACUCGACUGCGUGAAGUCGGAAUCGCUAGUAAUCGCGGAUCAGCAUGUCGCGGUGAAUACGUUCCCGGGUCUU